UACGGGGGGGGCAAGCGUUGUUCGGAAUUACUGGGCGUAAAGGGCGCGUAGGCGGUUGGAUAAGUCAGCUGUGAGAACCACGGGCUUAACUCGGGGCCUGCAGUUGAAACUGUCUGGCUAGAGUGUGGGAGAGGGAAGUGGAAUUCCUGGUGUAGCGGUGAAAUGCGUAGAUAUCAGGAGGAACACCGGUGGCGAAGGCGGCUUCCUGGACCACAACUGACGCUGAGGCGCGAAAGCUAGGGUAGCAAACAGG
rnacentral:rRNA from 1 species